rnacentral:rRNA from 1 species
AUACGUAGGUGGCAAGCGUUGUCCGGGAUUUACUGGGUGUAAAGGGGUGCGUAGGCGGGAUGGCAAGUCAGAUGUGAAAUCUCCAGGCUUAACCUGGAGCGUGCAUUUGAAACUGCUGUUCUUGAGUGAUGGAGAGGCAAGUGGAAUUCCUAGUGUAGCGGUGAAAUGCGUAGAUAUUAGGAGGAACACCAGUGGCGAAGGCGACUUGCUGGACAUUAACUGACGCUGAAGCACGAAAGCGUGGGGAGC